UACGUAGGGUGCAAGCGUUGUCCGGAAUUAUUGGGCGUAAAGAGCUCGUAGGCGGUGUGUCGCGUCGGCCGUGAAAACUUGGGGCUUAACUCUGAGCGUGCGGUCGAUACGGGCAUCACUUGAGUUCGGCAGGGGAGACUGGAAUUCCUGGUGUAGCGGUGAAAUGCGCAGAUAUCAGGAGGAACACCGGUGGCGAAGGCGGGUCUCUGGGCCGAUACUGACGCUGGAGGAGCGAAAGCCGUG
rnacentral:rRNA from 1 species